GAUGAACGCUGGCGGCGUGCUUAACACAUGCAAGUCGAACGAAACACCUUAUUUGAUUUUCUUCGGAACUGAAGAUUUGGUGAUUGAGUGGCGGACGGGUGAGUAACGCGUGGGUAACCUGCCCUGUACAGGGGGAUAACAGUCAGAAAUGACUGCUAAUACCGCAUAAGACCACAGCACCGCAUGGUGCAGGGGUAAAAACUCCGGUGGUACAGGAUGGACCCGCGUCUGAUUAGCUGGUUGGUGAGGUAACGGCUCACCAAGGCGACGAUCAGUAGCCGGCUUGAGAGAGUGAACGGCCACAUUGGGACUGAGACACGGCCCAAACUCCUACGGGGGGCAGCAGUGGGGAAUAUUGCACAAUGGGGGAAACCCUGAUGCAGCGACGCCGCGUGAGUGAAGAAGUAUUUCGGUAUGUAAAGCUCUAUCAGCAGGGAAGAAAAUGACGGUACCUGACUAAGAAGCCCCGGCUAACUACGUG
rnacentral:rRNA from 1 species